GCCGGAGGGUGGGUGUUCAUUCAGGGGCUCUGUGAUGGACGCCUAGGGCCCAGGCUUGCCAUCUGCUCUGCGCGGUCUCCGGGUGCUCGCAAAGGUGGCUGGCGCGUCCCGUCCUGUCCGGUCCAGACGCGUAGGGGAGCCCGUCGAGCCCUGUGAGUCGCAGUUCGGGUUAGGGCUCAGCGCGGAGGUCAGCCAGUCCCGGGAGUUAGAGAAUUUGCCGCCAUCCCCUGGGCAGCCCUCUUCUCAUUCUCAUUGGCCAGACGGGCGUCACGUGCCUACGCGUCGCCCAAUCACGGGCAGGAUGAGGGCCAAUCAGAAGGCUUGUCUGUAGCCGGUGGGCUUGCAGGUGCACCCCUGGGGAAGCCGGUUCGGCAAGACCUCGCGGAGGCGGGCGGUGGCGUGGGGACUCCGGAGCCGGCGGUCCCACCCCGCGGCGAGUGUCCUAGCAGCUCUUGGCUCACUCGCUGGGCCUGGACGCCAGCCCAGUGCCCACCACCUGGGGAGUGGAGGGGUCAGCUCUGGAAGGUCCUCGGCAAGGCGCACCCGCACAGCCCUGCGCCGGGACGGGGAGACCUCGACGACGUGGCAGCCAGAGACAAAAUGUCUCUGUUUGGUCUGGACAGUGAAGGUCGGUCAUCCCAGUCACAGGGACGUUGGGACCAUCCUAUGUCAAGUGCCUCACUCACCACCCUGCACAGUGGAUGAUGCUUAUUUAACCACAUCGUGACGGACGCGGAGUAUUGGACUCCGCGUUAGAGAACCUACCUCUAGACGGGGCGCACAAGGCUUCACCGGGUCCAGGCGGCAGGAUGUGAAUGUUUAAAGCGAGCCAUUGUAAAAUAAAUGUGUCGGGGAGGGCAGGUGUCUGGAAGGAUCAACGCCCUGUUCGUGAUGCUGGUCUGGACGGGGGGUGUGG